GGGGCCAUAGCUCAGCUGGGAGAGCGCUACACUGGCAGUGUAGAGGUCACCGGUUCGACUCCCCUUGGCUCCACCA
rnacentral:tRNA from 1 species